rnacentral:ncRNA from 1 species
CACCGUUCAUCACACGAUGAGAGCUGAUCAUGCCCGAAGUCGUUAUCUUAACCGCAAGGCGGGGAUACAGAAGGCAGGACUAAUAACUAGAGUGAAGUCGUAACAAGAUAGCCAUACAGGAAGGUGCGGGUG